rnacentral:rRNA from 1 species
CCUACGGGAGGCAGCAGUAGGGAAUAUUGCUCAAUGGGGGAAACCCUGAAGCAGCAACGCCGCGUGGAGGAUGAAGGUUCUCGGAUUGGAAACUCCUUUUGUUAGAGAAGAUAAUGACGGUAUCUAAUGAAUAAGCACCGUCUAACUCCGUGCCAGCAGCCGCGGUAAUAUGGAGGGUGCAAGCGUUACUCGGAAUCACCGGGCGUAAAGGGCGCGUAGGCGGGUUAGCAAGUCAGAUGUGAAAUCCUAUGGCUUAACCAUAGAACUGCAUUUGAAACUGUUAUUCUAGAGUAUGGGAGAGGUAGGUGGAAUUCUUGGUGUAGGGGUAAAAUCCGUAGAGAUCGAGAAGAAUACUCAUUGCGAAGGCGACCUGCUAGAACAUAACUGACGCUGAUGCGCGAAAGCGUGGGGAGCGAACAGGAUUAGAUACCCCAGUAGUC